GAUCAUGCUGUACCCAGAUCCUGAGGAGUGUUCCUGUUGGAGAUACAGACCAAGGCCAUACAGAGAAACAGUUUCUAAUUGCUAAGUGACGCAUGAACAUCCUAAUCUUUUAAGGUCAAACGAAGACAACAGACAGAUAGUAUUUUUCCACUACAAUCUCCAAACCCAAACUGCUGUUUGUCACUUUAGAACCUGCUGCUCCGUCCUUCAGUGCUGUGGUGAUGGGUAGAAGUGUAGCAGUAGUGGAGAAGAAGCUCUGUUGGUCAGAUGCCCUGUUCUACUGCAGAGACUUCUACUGGGACCUGCUCAGCAUACGCAGUGAGGCGGAGCAGAGGGAGGUGGAGAAUGUGUUGAGAAGCGUCUCCUUCCCCCUCACCGGACAUGUUUGGCUGGGCCUGCGCAGGUAACAGGUCAACUCAACGAAGUCUGGAUGUUCCUCCAGUUAAAGAAGGGUCACUGCUAUUUUUUUUUCAACUGACCCGUUGAUUUGAACACAUCUGCAAUGCUUUCAUUAUCACAUUUUAUAGAGGAAAAACACUUUGUUUCUGUAAAAAUGAAGAUUGCAAUCAAAUAAUUUUUGUCGCAACUGAAAAACUGAUCUCACUUGUAUUCCCACACGCGUUGUGUUUGCCCAAUGGUGAUUCUCAAAGAUAAUAAACUCUCAUUAGCUCAAUAUCAGGCCCAUUUAUAACAGCGCUGCCCUGCUAGACAACCAUCUGGUGUGUUAACAGACCAUUAAAGGAGCAAUAAUAAUGAAACAAAAGUCACAGAUAAUAAGCUAGGAUGUGAGACAAAGUGUCAUACUAACACGGGAGAAGCUGAAAUUGUUGAAAGUUUCCAAUGUUUGUGGCCCCUACGUUACAAAACCGUCAGUUGAAAUCACUGCAUCAUUUUUAGGUACAUUAUGGAUGACACCUGGUUUUGGAUGUCUGGGACUACAGAGAACUACUUCUACUGGGAGACAAUGUCCUCCUGGAAAAUCAGCAGUCCAUGUGGUGCCAUGGACACCAGCAGCCCUUUUCACUGGAGAAAUCUUCCCUGUGAAGAACAUCUUCAUUUCAUCUGUUUGAAAGAUAAUCAGGGUGACACAAACAGAGUGGAGUUCUUCAGCACCUCCAGACCAUAAACACAGCAUGAAGAGAAGCUCAAGUCUCACUCAGUUCAGAGCCCAGUCUGUAUACCUUAAAAUAGUGCUCAAAUGGGGUUUUCCUCUCACAAAAUAUAGCAAUAGAAAAUCAUAUCUUUUCUGCUUUGGUCUUUAAAACUGACAUCUAUUAAAACAGCUUCUUGUUUUUUUGGUUGGCUUAUUCAGCUAGCAUAAGUCAGGCUUAUACUGUAGUCAAUUGUUGCAUAAACCGUACAAUCCUCAACAGAUAACACUUUGAAUCUGUGUAACAGACGCUCAGGCAGCAGGCCAGGUACAACUCCUGGAUGGACUUAAGCCUGACGGAUUGAUGAAAGAAAAUGAAGGGGGAAGUAAUUUUUCACUAUUAGGGGGCAACCGUAGAGUUUAAUAAUUAAUCAUCUGCAAUUAAAAGCAGUAUACCAUUUUUUGCUCUGAAUGUGAAGAAAACUUUUUUUCUGAUACUAAAGGCAUAACACAGAUUUAUUACAUGUUGUCUUUUGUCGUGGUGUAGCAUAAGAAACCUCACAUAGAGGGUGAAGUUAACUUCAAAAAUGUCUAUUUCAACUGAUCGUGAGUCUUGUCUAAGGUUGAAACAAAAGUUGAAGUUGUCUUCAAACUUCUGCAGUGCCUUCAUUCUCUUCAUCUCAUUCUCUUUCUCUCUCUUCUUCACAACUCUUUUCCAAAUGCACUUUCAUGAUGUUAAAUAAAUAUGUAAAUAAAAUCUCUUUUAUGACAAACAUGCCAAAUAGGGCUUGAGUUGUUUCCAGUUUAAUAAAGCUUUAAUGUCUUUUAUUAAUAACUUUUAGGGUGUAUGGUUGGGGUGUGGAUUUGUGUUAUUUUGAUUCAGAAUAUUCUAUAAACAAAAGAGCUGGAAGAAUAAAGAAGGGAACUAAGUUUGUGAGAAGCAGUUUGUGAGUUCUUGUUUAAAGUUUUCCCAGCUGUGAGAUUGUUUCAAAUGAGAUCAUUUCAGAUCCCACUUUAGAUCCAAUUUAAAUAAAUAAUCAGGCUAAGCAUUUUCUUUAGCUUCAGGACUUGACACAUUCAGGCUGAAAAUUA